UACAGAGGGGGCAAGCGUUAUUCGGAGUUAUUGGGCGUAAAGGGCGCGUAGGCGGCCUGGCAAGUGGAAGGUGAAAUCCCUCGGCUUAACCGAGGAACUGCCUCCCAAACUGCUUGGCUUGAGACCGGGAGAGGCGAGUGGAAUUCCCGGUGUAGCGGUGAAAUGCGCAGAUAUCGGGAGGAACACCAAUGGCGAAGGCAGCUCGCUGGGACGUGACUGACGCUGAGACGCGAAAGCGUGGGGAGCAAACAGG
rnacentral:rRNA from 1 species